rnacentral:rRNA from 1 species
UACGUAGGGCGCAAGCGUUGUCCGGAAUUAUUGGGCGUAAAGAGCUCGUAGGCGGCUUGUCACGUCGGGUGUGAAAGCCCGGGGCUUAACCCCGGGUCUGCAUUCGAUACGGGCUGGCUGGAGUGUGGUAGGGGAGAUCGGAAUUCCUGGUGUAGCGGUGAAAUGCGCAGAUAUCAGGAGGAACACCGGUGGCGAAGGCGGAUCUCUGGGCCGUAACUGACGCUGAGGCGCGAAAGCGUGGGGAGCAAACAGG